rnacentral:rRNA from 1 species
UACGUAGGUGGCAAGCGUUGUCCGGAUUUAUUGGGUUUAAAGGGUGCGUAGGCGGCCCUGUAAGUCAGUGCUGAAAUAUCCCAGCUUAACUGGGAGGGUGGCAUUGAUACUGCGGGGCUAGAGUACAGAUGAGGUAGGCGGAAUUGACGGUGUAGCGGUGAAAUGCUUAGAUAUCGUCAAGAACACCUAUAGCGAAGGCAGCUUACUAGGCUGUAACUGACGCUGAGGCACGAAAGCUAGGGGAGCGAACGGG